GACGAACGCUGGCGGCGUGCUUAACACAUGCAAGUCGAACGGAAAGGCCCUGCUUUUGUGGGGUGCUCGAGUGGCGAACGGGUGAGUAACACGUGAGUAACCUGCCCUUGACUUUGGGAUAACUUCAGGAAACUGGGGCUAAUACCGGAUAGGAGCUCCUGCUGCAUGGUGGGGGUUGGAAAGUUUCGGCGGUUGGGGAUGGACUCGCGGCUUAUCAGCUUGUUGGUGGGGCAGUGGCUUACCAAGGCUUUGACGGGUAGCCGGCCUGAGAGGGUGACCGGCCACAUUGGGACUGAGAUACGGCCCAGACUCCUACGGGGGGCAGCAGUGGGGAAUAUUGCACAAUGGGCGGAAGCCUGAUGCAGCAACGCCGCGUGCGGGAUGACGGCCUUCGGGUUGUAAACCGCUUUCGCCUGUGACGAAGCGUGAGUGACGGUAAUGGGUAAAGAAGCACCGGCUAACUACGUG
rnacentral:rRNA from 1 species